UUUUUUUUGAAGCGCAGCAAAAAUUUAUCUUUAACGGUUCAUUUAUUCUCCUUAUCAAUUUUUCUUUUGUUUAUUGCAAGGGUGAAACAGCGUCCUAAAACCAUCUGCCAACAAAGGGAAGCUAUUACAGGAUGACAGACACCAAAGAGGGAAAUCCUUUGAAAACUGAUGGAGAUGGGAUUGAUGUUUCCAUUAUUCUCUCAAAUGGGGACAAAUAUGGUAAGAAGGGAUUUAAACUCUAAACAGUUAUAUGUGGGGGCCAUAUGGAUUGAAAGUGUGUAGGAAAAAACAGACCUCAGAUGGGAUUUGGUUGAGCUUGAAUCAUUUCCUGUAUAAGUUUGUCUCAUGGAGGUCACUCACUAUUAGGGGAUCCUUU